UUCCUGUUCGUCAUCGUCAUCAUCGUCGUCGUCCUCCUCAGUGUUUACAUCAUCGUCGUCGUCGUCCUCGUCCUCCUCAUGAGUUGCCAUGCCAUCCUCCUCCACAGCCGUGGUUCCUCGCUUCCCCACGGACACUGCAGUCGGUGGGUGGUGGAAGCAGGGCUGCUGGUGAUCCGCGUGCAGUGGAGGCGGCGGUUGCAUCUGCGGAGGUGGCGCGGAAGCUAAGUUUGCGGUGGCGGUGGCGUUGUGGUAGGCGCACAUCUCGCGGAAGAAGAGGUGCUUGGAAUUGAGGAGCUUGCGGGCCUCCUCCUUGGCCUUGGGGGAGAGGUCCAUGGUGUCGAGAAGGGCCUGGUUC
rnacentral:lncRNA from 1 species